AGUACCAUGAUGCAGUUCGCCAGUCUCGCGAGAUAUGAGUACCGCUGGUCUCGCCCCUGUAUUAUAGUUGUGGAAACCCCGAGCGCUCUUCCUUUCUCACCAUGGCACCGAAGGCGAAGAAGGAAGCUGUCCCAGCCAAGACCGAGGCCAAGGUGAAAGCCCUAAAGGCCAAGAAGGCUGUUCUGAAAGGAGUCCACAGCCAGAGGAAGAAGAAGAUAAGAACCUCUCCGACCUUCCGCCGCCCCAAAACCCUGCGCCUCCGCAGACAACCCAAGUACCCCCGGAAGAGCGCCCCUCGCAGGAAUAAGUUGGACCACUAUGCCAUCAUUAAGUUCCCUCUGACGACAGAGUCUGCCAUGAAGAAGAUCGAGGACAACAACACCCUCGUCUUCAUCGUAGACAUCAAGGCCAACAAGCACCAGAUCAAACACGCCGUCAAGAAGCUGUACGACAUCGAUGUGGCCAAGGUCAACACGCUCAUCAGGCCUGAUGGUGAGAAGAAGGCAUACGUACGCCUGGCUCCAGAUUACGAUGCGCUGGAUGUGGCCAACAAGAUUGGCAUCAUCUAGAUGGCGGCUGGGGGAGAUGUACAGAGGAAUAAAAUGUUCAUAAAAACACA